GACGAACGCUGGCGGCGUGCCUAAUACAUGCAAGUUGAGCGCUGAAGGUUGGUACUUGUACCAACUGGAUGAGCAGCGAACGGGUGAGUAACGCGUGGGGAAUCUGCCUUUGAGCGGGGGACAACAUUUGGAAACGAAUGCUAAUACCGCAUAAAAACUUUAAACACAAGUUUUAAGUUUGAAAGAUGCAAUUGCAUCACUCAAAGAUGAUCCCGCGUUGUAUUAGCUAGUUGGUGAGGUAAAGGCUCACCAAGGCGAGGAUACAUAGCCGACCUGAGAGGGUGAUCGGCCACAUUGGGACUGAGACACGGCCCAAACUCCUACGGGAGGCAGCAGUAAGGAAUCUUCGGCAAUGGACGAAAGUCUGACCGAGCAACGCCGCGUGAGUGAAGAAGGUUUUCGGAUCGUAAAACUCUGUUGGUAGAGAAGAACGUUGGUGAGAGUGGAAAGCCCAUCAAGUGACGGUAACUACCCAGAAAGGGACGGCUAACUACGUG
rnacentral:rRNA from 1 species